AACCUAGCACACCUGCGGUGUGUACCUGCGGAAGGAUCAUUACCGAGUGUGGUCCCAUAUAAGGGGCGCCUCCCGUCCUUUGCAGGGCCUUUAGGGGCUUUUUGACUUUGCUUCGGCGGGCUUGCCCCGCCGGAACACCCUCAAGAAAAUCUUUAUGAACCGUUUGUCUGAGUUGCUUGCGAAUAAAAACAAAACUUUCAGCAACGGAUCU
rnacentral:misc_RNA from 1 species